rnacentral:lncRNA from 1 species
CAAUUUAUCCGUGUGCAGCCCCAAACUGGAAAGAAGAUGCUAAUUAAAGUGAAGACGCUGACCGGAAAGGAGAUUGAGAUUGACAUUGAACCUACAGACAAGGUGGAGCGAAUCAAGGAGCGUGUGGAGGAGAAAGAGGGAAUCCCCCCACAACAGCAGAGGCUCAUCUACAGUGGCAAGCAGAUGUGAGUUUGGAGUGAGAAUGACAGCAUGGCGAUCUUAUGUGAAGAUGAGAAGAGGAGAGGGGGCACGUACUGAGGAAUGAUGAGAAGACAGCAGCUGAUUACAAGAUUUUAGGUGGUUCAGUCCUUCACCUGGUGUUGGCUCUGAGAGGAGGAGGUGGUCUUAGGCAGUGAUGGACCCUCCAUUUUACCUCUUUACCCUGUCGCUCAUAAUGAGGCAUCAUAUAUCCUCUCACUCUCUGGGACACCAUAGCCACUGCCCCCUCCCCUGGAUGCCCAGUAAUGUAUGUCUACUGGUGGGAGACUGUGAGGAUCCCAGGAUUCAGUAUUCCUGGCCCAGAGGGCCCUUGCUGGCUACUGGGUGUUAGUUUGCAGUCCUGUGUGCUUCCCUCUCUUAUGACUGUGUCCCUGGUUGUCAAUAAAAUAUUUCCUGGCCUCCUGGAA